CAAGUCGAGCGGUAGAGAGGAGCUUGCUUCUCUUGAGAGCGGCGGACGGGUGAGUAAUGCCUAGGAAUCUGCCUAGUGGUGGGGGAUAACGUUCGGAAACGGACGCUAAUACCGCAUACGUCCUACGGGAGAAAGCGGGGGACCUUCGGGCCUCGCGCCAUUAGAUGAGCCUAGGUCGGAUUAGCUAGUUGGUGAGGUAACGGCUCACCAAGGCGACGAUCCGUAACUGGUCUGAGAGGAUGAUCAGUCACACUGGAACUGAGACACGGUCCAGACUCCUACGGGAGGCAGCAGUGGGGAAUAUUGGACAAUGGGCGAAAGCCUGAUCCAGCCAUGCCGCGUGUGUGAAGAAGGUCUUCGGAUUGUAAAGCACUUUAAGUUGGGAGGAAGGGCAGUAAGCGAAUACCUUGCUGUUUUGACGUUACCGACAGAAUAAGCACCGGCUAACUCUGUGCCAGCAGCCGCGGUAAUACAGAGGGUGCAAGCGUUAAUCGGAAUUACUGGGCGUAAAGCGCGCGUAGGUGGUUGGUUAA
rnacentral:rRNA from 1 species